UGGGGAAUAUUGGGCAAUGGGCGCAAGCCUGACCCAGCCAUGCCGCGUGAGUGAUGAAGGCCUUCGGGUCGUAAAGCUCUGUGGGGAGGGACGAAACCGGUGGCGGUUAAUACCUGCUGCCCUUGACGGUACCUCCUUAGCAAGCACCGGCUAACUCCGUGCCAGCAGCCGCGGUAAUACGGAGGGUGCAAACGUUGCUCGGAAUCAUUGGGCGUAAAGCGCACGUAGGCGGCCUGUUAAGUCGGGUGUGAAAUCCCUCGGCUCAACCGAGGAAGUGCAUUCGAAACUGGCAGGCUUGAAUAUGGAAGAGGGUCGCGGAAUUCCCGGUGUAGAGGUGAAAUUCGUAGAUAUCGGGAGGAACACCAGUGGCGAAGGCGGCGACCUGGGCCAAUAUUGACGCUGAGGUGCGAAAGCGUGGGGAGCAAACAGGAUUAGAUACCCCGGUAGUCC
rnacentral:rRNA from 1 species